CAAAUGACAUAAGCAUUUCUCAGCCAACCUCCCCGAGUAACGUAACAGAUGGAGAAAAAUUACAGGUGGUAACAACCAAAUUUCCUAGCGAUAGCCGGGACAAGCAUUCAGUACCUCCACUGUAGCGUUGCAGCAGCGGCGACGUGUAGGUGCCUUUUUCUUCGGUACUUGUACACUGUCUAGACACAACACGAUCAGACUAGACAUGCCUCUACAUUGGCCAGGUCCUUCGGUACCACUACAUUGUCAUAACCACAAUUAGAAUAACCAGAAUCUAUUUUAUGUUCCAAUACAAAUGAAAUGUAUUUAUUAACCAACAUUAGAAGAGGUAUAAUAAAAAUGAAAUGUAUAAUACCACCAAUAUAAUACAAAUGACAUGUAUAAUAUUUAAUAACAACCAAUAUAAUACAACAGCAUACAAAAGUGAAUAUUAUAUGUAUUAACCAUAAUUAGAAUAGGCCUUCAAAUAGCUACAAAUAUAAUACAAAAAUAAUACAAACUAUCUUCAUAUAGAUACACAAAUAUGAUUUAAUACAAAAUAUCUUCAAUAUAAUACAAUACAAAAAUAGACUUGCAAAUAGCUCAAAUUGGAAUAUUCUCUUUCUCCUCUUCGCAUACAAACCGUUUGUAGGAGCAAAGGUUACAGAAUACGCAUCUACGGUUGAAUAGUUGACAUCUGUUGCAUUGUUGUCCUAUUACAACAGCGGGUGGGAUCUCAUAUACGUCCUGCAGAUCGGUAAUUGGGAUAUCGUAUAGGGAUCCCAAAUACAUUGCCAGAAACGACCGUUUACAGUAUAUAUGCCUAUAUUCAUCGACCAGAUCACGUAAGACGAAUGGUACAUGGUCUGCUGCUAUCCAAACAUGGCUGUUGUUCCUGGGGCGACUGGCCAUUUGCAGGCCAUGCCCAUAUUGGACUGCAUAUGUCACGAUAGCUUGGUCGAUAUGCGACAGGUCUCGAUGUCUGACACCUGGCGUGUAUAUAUGCAAUUGGUCGUACGUAUCAUCAAACAGCGUGACAUAACUUAAUCUUCUGAAUAUCCACCCAGAACUUACAUAAUAGCCAUCGAUGUGUAAUAAUAUCCCUUCCAUUUUCAGAACCUAAAAUGGAUAUAAUUCAAUUAUAAUGCCUAAUAGAUAUCCGUAAAAUAUUUUCUAAGGAGAUGUAUUUAUUAUGAUCCUGUAUUACAAUACAUACAGAUUAACUGCGAGAGUGACAUGGAUGCAACCGAGUUGUUUAAGGUUCUGUUAUCUAAGGAUAUGGAUUAUAAUCAUUUCGAAAGAAUGCUGAAGAGAAUAGAAAAGAAAUGUAGAGAGACGCCAGAGAUUAUGGAUACCUGGAAUGAAAUAGCUGCACGUUUGAUGAUCUAUAAAGAAUGGAAUAAGGACAAAGGGAUAAUUCCAAAAUACAAUGAAGCCUGUUUAAAUUCAAUCUGGACAUAUCUGAUGCAAGAAUAAUAUGUCAAUAUUGGUGUGAUGUACGGGUUAUUUGUGUGGUCUUUGUCAUUUCCUGUUGUUAAUAAAGAAUUGUUUCAUUUAUGGCUUAUAUAGUUCUAUAACGCGUCUGAAUAUUCAAUCAUUAUGGCCACUGCAAAUGGUAAGUAAGUAUAUUACAUUGUCCCUCUGAUUACAUCUAAUGUCAUAUACGUUUAGUUACAGGAAACGAUUUCAAACAGUAUAUCGAUGGAGAUAGAGAUUCCUUCAUAUUCAAAGGAGGGAUGGCCCAUACUGUUUAGAUAUCGAUAUACUAGAGUUUCCGGCAACUGGAGGAGCGGUGUAUUACUGCGUGGGGAAAUGUCUGAAGCUGUACUAUUUCGGAGAAAGAAAUACUAUUCCUGUAUUAUACCCAAUUUCAUCAGACCUCAACUAAGUACAGAUCGAUUUCGUACAUGUGUAACCGUUUCUGUUAUCGAUAUUCCUGUGUGUAUUGUAAUAUAGCAUUUGAAUAAAUACCUGUACUUUACUAUAAUCAUUACACACCACAAUAAUAUAUCUUCCUGGUAUACUCGCUUUGCCUGUACCCUCUCUGCUUACUCUACCUUACUAGACCAUCUGUAAUAAACGCUGUUUAUUAAAAGUAAAUUGUUUUGAAAGCAAACCUCUAUCUUGUACUCUUCACAUUUCUCAAUCAUUUAAGUGUAUGCAAGUAGUCUGUUGUACUAUAGUUUUUUCUAAAACCUGCC
rnacentral:lncRNA from 1 species